rfam:Aquamicrobium defluvii strain W13Z1 genomic scaffold V9__scaffold_04, whole genome shotgun sequence.
UGCCGAUCGUCCAUAGAUCGGGGUUACUGAAGAGGCACACCUUCAUUGCCGGCAGUGCGGUUGGGAUUUCCCAUCCAAGCCAAGGCAGACAAAGCGAGCCGGAGCCGGGCAAGGCUUCAGCUCACCGCCGCGGAAAGGCGUUUCGG